rnacentral:rRNA from 1 species
GAUGAACGCUGGCGGCGUGCCUAAUACAUGCAAGUCGAGCGAAUGGAUUAAGAGCUUGCUCUUAUGAAGUUAGCGGCGGACGGGUGAGUAACACGUGGGUAACCUGCCCAUAAGACUGGGAUAACUCCGGGAAACCGGGGCUAAUACCGGAUAACAUUUUGAACCGCAUGGUUCGAAAUUGAAAGGCGGCUUCGGCUGUCACUUAUGGAUGGACCCGCGUCGCAUUAGCUAGUUGGUGAGGUAACGGCUCACCAAGGCAACGAUGCGUAGCCGACCUGAGAGGGUGAACGGCCACACUGGGACUGAGACACGGCCCAGACUCCUACGGGAGGCAGCAGUAGGGAAUCUUCCGCAAUGGACGAAAGUCUGACGGAGCAACGCCGCGUGAGUGAUGAAGGCUUUCGGGUCGUAAAACUCUGUUGUUAGGGAAGAACAAGUGCUAGUUGAAUAAGCUGGCACCUUGACGGUACCUAACCAGAAAGCCACGGCUAACUACGUGCCAGCCGCCGUAAGAC